UUUCCCUCAGGGUCGCAUCUGGAGAGUUUCGACUACUCUACCAGUCACGACUAUAGGAGGGAGAGUUAAGCAGAGGCAUAUCUGUUCCAUUCCUAGCUUGGCAGUAGCUAGCAAGUGGAAGACAAUCUGCUACAAGU
rfam:Ornithorhynchus anatinus chromosome 1, whole genome shotgun sequence.